AACGAACGCUGGCGGCAGGCUUAACACAUGCAAGUCGAACGCCCCGCAAGGAGAGUGGCAGACGGGUGAGUAACACGUGGGAACAUGCCCAAAGGUACGGAAUAUUCUCGGGAAACUGAGAGCAAUACCGUAUGUGCCCGAAAGUGGAAAGAUUUAUCGCCUUUGGAUUAGCCCGAGUCGUCUUAGCUAGUUGGGGGGGUAAAAGCCUACCAAUGCGACGAUCCAUAGAUGGUCUGAGAGGACGACCAGACACACUGGGACUGAGACACGGCCCGGAAUCCUACGGGAGGCAGCAGAGGGGAAUCUAGCACAAUGGGCGGAAGGCUGAACCAGCCAUGGCGGGUGAAUGAUGAAGUCCCUAGAGUUGUAAAACACUUUCGUAGGCGACGAUAAUGACGGUACCCAAAGAAGAAGCACCGGCUAACUUCGUG
rnacentral:rRNA from 1 species